rnacentral:rRNA from 1 species
AUUGAACGCUGGCGGCAGGCCUAACACAUGCAAGUCGAACGGUAACAGGAAGAAGCUUGCUUCUUUGCUGACGAGUGGCGGACGGGUGAGUAAUGUCUGGGAAACUGCCUGAUGGAGGGGGGUAACUACUGGAAACGGUAGCUAAUACCGCAUAACGUCGCAAGACCAAAGAGGGGGACCUUCGGGCCUCUUGCCAUCGGAUGUUCCCAGAUGGGAUUAGCUAGUAGGUGGGGUAACGGCUCACCUAGGCGACGAUCCCUAGCUGGUCUGAGAGGAUGACCAGCCACACUGGAACUGAGACACGGUCCAGACUCCUACGGGAGGCAGCAGUGGGGAAUAUUGCACAAUGGGCGCAAGCCUGAUGCAGCCAUGCCGCGUGUAUGAAGAAGGCCUUCGGGUUGUAAAGUACUUUCAGCGGGGAGGAAGGGAGUAAAGUUAAUACCUUUGCUCAUUGACGUUACCCGCAGAAGAAGCACCGGCUAACUCCGUG